GGGCCCAUAACCCAGAGGUCGAUGG
rnacentral:piRNA from 2 species